CCGGGGCUUGUAUGGACUCUCUGCAUACUAGCAUGUUUUUGUUUUUUUUUUAAAGUGUAAUUGUUUAUGUAGCACUAAUGGAAGGAGUCUGCAGUGUUAGUGCUCUGUAACAGUGAGAUUUAACACUUGCUUUGGUUCAGGAGGAAAAAAAAACGCUCACAUCCUUGAGGCGUAUUCUCCAUAUCUUUGAUCCGGCGGUUGGGAGAAGGUCAAGCCGAGACAGCCUCGGUCAUCACAUGUUGAUUAAAAGAGGGCAGAUCUUGACUGCCCUGAACGAGAGGGACGAUAACGAGGGCAGUCUCGUUCCCUAUUACAUUGCUAAACAUUUAAUUGGCUACCAUUAAACUUUUAUGUGUGCCAUUGAACUAAUCCUGUAAUCACCUAGUGAUGAAAUAUCAUAUGUAUUAAAAAAG
ensembl:lncRNA